rnacentral:tRNA from 1 species
GCGCUUGUAGCUCAGUUGGAUAGAGCAGUUGUUUCCGGGGCAACGGGUCGCAGGUUCGACUCCUGUCAAGCGCGCCA